rnacentral:lncRNA from 1 species
GUUUCUGAAUACCACUCACUGUUCUCAUCCCAAAGAUCCUUAUAUUCAUCAAGAAAGUGAGUCGAAUAUUUGUCUUUCAGAGGAUCAAAGAAGGAUGUAUCAGGUUCAUUUGUUGCAAUAUAAACAUUCCUUCCGUCUUCAAUCUUAUUCUGCAAGGUUGAGAUAAGGGCAUCAGGUGAAGUAUCUUGGGCAAGAUUAGGCCACAGAUCCCUGUUCCUCGCCUUCUCCCCUCUCACAAUGUGAACAGAGUCAUAAUCCCAGUUCAACUUUGACGCAAUCGCCAACACUAUAUCCAUCAACCUCCUUGAUUUCCAUAACAGAUGCCAUGGCCUUUGAACAAC